rnacentral:tRNA from 1 species
GGUUCUAUGGUGCAGUGGUUGGCACUCGACUUUGAAUCCAAUGACCUAGGUUCAAAUCCCAAUGGGACCU